AUCGUUCAGUAACGAUAAAAGUGGCGAGCCAAAAUCUAAAAAUUUGGCAGCUUCCCUGUAUGAAACUGCUGAAGGACAAGUACACUUGGGAAAGGACGUCUACGUCGCGGAGGCUCUGUAUAACCGCCUCAUGGCUGCCAAGACUGACAGCCGAUUUGUCCGGGAAGCUGCUGUGGCCAUUUUCUCCACAGCAGGCUUGGCUGGCCACAGUGUCACCGGGGCAAUGUCCAACCGGACAAAAACUGGCGCAAAGCCAGCGUUGGACAAGACGAAGUAUUCAGUAUUGAGUGAUUUCUUCAGCAACUUCUUGCUGCAACGAUAUCCACUUGGCGAAAUGGAAAAAAGAAAAAAGCUGAUGAAUAAGAUCCUUGCCAUCAAGAUU
rnacentral:lncRNA from 1 species